UACGUAGGGUCCGAGCGUUGUCCGGAAUUAUUGGGCGUAAAGAGCUCGUAGGCGGUUUGUCGCGUCUGCCGUGAAAGUCCGGGGCUCAACUCCGGAUCUGCGGUGGGUACGGGCAGACUAGAGUGAUGUAGGGGGAGACUGGAAAUUCCUGGUGUAGCGGUGAAAAUGCGCAGAUAUCAGGAGGAACACCGGUGGCGAAGGCGGCACUCUGGGCCGGUACUGACGCUGAGGAGCGAAAGCGUGGGGGAGCGAACAGG
rnacentral:rRNA from 1 species